AUGAACGCUGGCGACAGGCCUAACACAUGCAAGUCGAGGGGCAGCACAAGGAGCAAUCUGAGGUGGCGACCGGCGCACGGGUGAGUAACACGUAUGCAACCUGCCUGUAAGCGGGGAAUAACCCGUUGAAAGACGGACUAAUACCGCAUAAUACUAAAUUACUGCAUGGUAAUUUAUUUAAACAUUUAUGGCUUACAGAUGGGCAUGCGCAUGAUUAGCUAGUUGGAGAGGUAACGGCUCCCCAAGGCAACGAUCAUUAGGGGUUCUGAGAGGAAGGUCCCCCACACUGGUACUGAGACACGGACCAGACUCCUACGGGAGGCAGCAGUGAGGAAUAUUGGUCAAUGGACGAGAGUCUGAACCAGCCAAGUCGCGUGCAGGAAGAAUGUUCCCUAUGGAUUGUAAACUGCUUUUGCAGGGGAAUAAAGUGCAUCACGUGUGAUGUUUUGUAUGUACUCUGCGAAUAAGGAUCGGCUAACUCCGUGCCAGCCGCCGC
rnacentral:rRNA from 1 species